UCCUGGCUCAGAUUGAACGCUAGCGGCAGGCUUAAUACAUGCAAGUCGAGGGGCAGCACGGUUAGCAAUAACUGGUGGCGACCGGCGCACGGGUGCGUAACACGUAUACAAUCUACCUUAAACAGGGGGAUAGCCUUUCGAAAGAGAGAUUAAUACCCCGUAAUAAAUUGAACGGCAUCGUUUGAUUUGAAAGCUCCGGCGGUUUGAGAUGAGUAUGCGUCUGAUUAGCUAGUUGGUGAGGUAACGGCUCACCAAGGCGACGAUCAGUAGGGGACCUGAGAGGACUAACCCCCACACUGGUACUGAGACACGGACCAGACUCCUACGGGAGGCAGCAGUAAGGAAUAUUGGUCAAUGGAGGCAACUCUGAACCAGCCAUGCCGCGUGCAGGAUGACGGCCCUAUGGGUUGUAAACUGCUUUUAUACAAGAGAAAAACCCUGGUACGUGUACCAAGUUGAUAGUAUUGUAAGAAUAAGCAUCGGCUAACUUCGUG
rnacentral:rRNA from 1 species